AAGACAACAAAAGAAGAAGAAAAAAACAAGGUGAAUAUCACAGAAUAUUUAUAUUGAUUGUGUGUCAUUUAAUCAAGGCGUAAACCUGUCAAAAAUAGUACAAAAAUUGUGAAAAUUUUAAAUAUUUGAAAAAACGGACAAUAAUUGUGUGUAUUUAGGAUAUAUUAAAUGCUAGCUGUGAAUUUAACCUAUAGUGAGACAAACAUGUCAUAUUCCAAAAAUAUUAAAUGCUAUACAUUUUAUAAGAAGUAGUGGAAGUGACACUGUGGUGGGAAUUUAUAAGUAAAUAAGAAAGAAAGAAAGAAGGAAAAAGAAUGAAUGAUCCAGAAACACUUGUAUAUUGAAUAUGCAUACAAUAUACAAAUACAUGCACAGUCAGGCAUGCGCUCAUAAAGAUGCUAAAAAUAAAUGUGAACUCGACAAUGUUUUAUAAAAAGGAGAGUGUAUUUUCCUUGUGGAUCCACAAUAUAUCCCAUAAGCUUGUUGUUAAAUGGGGUACAGAUAUUUCUAUGUCACAGAAGUUAAUGUGUUAAGCUGGGAAUGUUUGGCACGUUGUAUGUCUUACAUAAACAGACAUUCAUUUCCAGGUCAUUGUGAGGUCAGAGUGCAGUCUUUCACUCCCAAUGGAGGAAACAUGAUCAGUGAUGUUGGAUAUCUCAGCGCUGAACAACUGGAGAGACACAGGUCUGUCAGACUAUCUGUGUGUUUAUUUAUACAGUAUGUGCAUUGUGACAUAAUCAUAUGUAGAGUGCUUAGUAUUUCCUUUGGUACAGAUGGCAGGCCUCACAACACUACAUAAUGAGAGUGUGUGGAAGGACACAGAUCCUGGAACCAAGUCUCAUGUCUGUCUGAAGCAUUACAGAGGCACCCAUACGAAGGAUGAUUGUGGGCCAGGGGUCGACGUUGAAUCAGAUUGGGAUGGAAUGCUCCUGAGAUCAGAGAACAGAGGACAGAGAAGGAGGGGCUGUACCAGGUCAAACUCCAUCAGUUAUUCCCAUCACUACCAUGCCCUUAACAUUUCUAUGUUUAACAAGGAUUUAGAGGAGGAUUCUGUCUGUCAAAGCACAAGAUCAGGACUGUGUUAUUUGCAAAUACAUAAGAGCUCCAUACUACUGCUAAUGAAUGAAGAAUGA
ensembl:lncRNA